rnacentral:rRNA from 1 species
UACGGAGGGAGCUAGCGUUGUUCGGAAUUACUGGGCGUAAAGCGCACGUAGGCGGCUUUGUACGUUAGAGGUGAAAGCCCGGAGCUCAACUCCGGAAUUGCCUUUAAGACUGCAUCGCUUGAAUCCGGGAGAGGUGAGUGGAAUUCCGAGUGUAGAGGUGAAAUUCGUAGAUAUUCGCAAGAACACCAGUGGCGAAGGCGGCUCACUGGCCCGAUACUGACGCUGAGGUGCGAAAGCGUGGGGAGCAAACAGG